rnacentral:rRNA from 1 species
UACGGGGGGGGCAAGCGUUGUUCGGAAUUACUGGGCGUAAAGGGUUUGUAGGUGGCUUGCUAAGUCAGACGUGAAAUCCCUCAGCUUAACUGGGGAACUGCGUCUGAGACUGGCGAGCUUGAGUGCAGGAGAGGAACGCGGAAUUCCAGGUGUAGCGGUGAAAUGCGUAGAUAUCUGGAGGAACACCGGUGGCGAAGGCGGCAUCCUGGACCGGCAUUGACGCUGAGGCGCGAAAGCCAGGGGAGCAAACGGG